AAUUUUAGUAUAUUAUUUCACAACCAAAAUGAAGCGGUUCACUUCGAUUUUAUUACUGGUUGCAAUAAUGUCCAUAACAUGCAGUGUGUCUGCAUUCUAUACUAACGUGAAAGCAGGCGGAUACCCCUGUGUUGACAGCCCUGAUUGCAAUGCGGUAUGUCUACGUACAACAACUAACAUAAUCAAUGUUCUUUGCUUUUACGAAAAAUGCUGGUGUAUGCCGGGUUAAUAUAACAAUAAUAUGAAGUAAUAAAAGGUCUGUUUAAACCU